AUGCUGGUUCCUUCCCUGUCCGGCCAGAGUUGGUGAGCUCCCAUUAGCUCAGGGAGAUAGUUCUGUUCCUGGCAGCACCAAUCUACUUCAUUUCAUAAAAGGAUGACGAGUACUGAAGAAUCUCCAUAUGGAGUUUGCUUUCAAUUCUGCAAAGCUGGC